rnacentral:rRNA from 1 species
CAGUAGCCGCGGUAAUACGGAGGGUGCAAGCGUUAAUCGGAAUUACUGGGCGUAAAGCGCACGCAGGCGGUUUGUUAAGUCAGAUGUGAAAUCCCCGAGCUUAACUUGGGAACUGCAUUUGAAACUGGCAAGCUAGAGUCUUGUAGAGGGGGGUAGAAUUUCAGGUGUAGCGGUGAAAUGCGUAGAGAUCUGGAGGAAUACCGGUGGCGAAGGCGGCCCCCUGGACGAAGACUGACGCUCAGGUACGAAAGCGUGGGGAGCAAACAGGAUUAGAUACCCGUGUAGUCCCUGUCUCUUAUAC